rnacentral:rRNA from 1 species
ACGUAGGGUGCGAGCGUUAAUCGGAAUUACUGGGCGUAAAGCGUGCGCAGGCGGUUUUGUAAGACAGGUGUGAAAUCCCCGGGCUUAACCUGGGAACUGCGCUUGUGACUGCAAGACUCGAGUACGGCAGAGGGGGGUGGAAUUCCACGUGUAGCAGUGAAAUGCGUAGAGAUGUGGAGGAACACCGGUGGCGAAGGCGGCCUUCUGGACGGAUACUGACGCUGAUACGCGAAAGCGUGGGGAGCAAACAGGA